ensembl:rRNA 5S_rRNA 5S ribosomal RNA
UCUUACAGCCAUACCACACUGAGCACGCCUGAUCUCGGAAGCUAAGCAGUGCUGGGCCUGGUUAGAACUUGGAUGGGAGACCAACUGGGAAUACCAGGUGCUGUAAACU